GGUGCAGUGGCCAAGUGGUAAGGCUUCAGUCUCGUAAACUUAUGAGCAUGGGUUCAACCCCCAUCUGUACCU